ACUUAGCUUUGAAUCACUGUACUUCUUCAAUAAAGCUCGCACAUUUCUCCUGUUGAUGAAAUUGCGCAUUUCAAACCUAGUAUUGGACAAAAGAAAACAGGUUGUUAUUUUUAUAACUAUAAGCUGUGUACAAAAACAAAGUGAGAGAAGUCACCAUCAUGCAUAAAAUGCUUUCUGAUACGUAGAUGAACACUCGUAUUUACUAAUUAGCAGACCUGUAUAUACUAUAUAUUACAGAUAAACUUCAAAAAUACUUAUCUUCCAUCUAGCAAUCCAGUAUCAGACUCUCUUAAAUUAUUUGCUGAAAAUGAAAUGAUGCUUACCGUAUCAUGGCAAUGAUAGCGAGACGAAACUUGGCGUAAGUUAUUUCCUUUGGGAAAUUAAAAUUACCGAAGACACUUGCCUUUGUACAUAUGCAACAUAAUAUUUGUACAUAGGUAAACUGAACAAGAAUAAAAA